rnacentral:piRNA from 1 species
UGAGAAUAAGCUGAAGGUAUUGAAA